GGAGGAGUACCCAAGUGGCUGAAGGGGACGGUUUGCUAAAUCGUUAGUAUGGAGAGAUCUGUAGCGGGGGUUCGAAUCCCCCCUCCUCCGCCA
rnacentral:tRNA from 4 species